rnacentral:misc_RNA from 1 species
UCAGGUUCCUGUCCUGACUUCCU